rnacentral:rRNA from 1 species
UACGGAGGAUGCAGGCGUUAUCCGGAUUUAUUGGGUUUAAAGGGUGCGUAGGCGGGUCUUUAAGCGUGAGGUGAAAUGCCACGGCUCAACCGUGGAACUGCCUCGCGAACUGGAGAUCUUGAAUGCCCCUGCCGUGGGAGGAAUGUGUGGUGUAGCGGUGAAGUGCAUAGAGAUCACACAGAACACCGAUUGCGAAGGCAUCUCACGAAGGGGUGAUUGACGCUGAGGCACGAAAGCGUGGGGAUCAAAC